rnacentral:rRNA from 1 species
UAGGGAAUCUUCGCNCAAUGGGGGGAACCCUGACCGAGCAACGCCGCGUGAGUGAAGAAGGUUUUCGGAUCGUAAAGCUCUGUUGUUAAGGAAGAACGAGUGUGAGAAUGGAAAGUUCAUACUGUGACGGUACUUAACCAGAAAGGGACGGCUAACUACGUGCCAGCAGCCGCGGUAAUACGUAGGUCCCGAGCGUUGUCCGGAUUUAUUGGGCGUAAAGCGAGCGCAGGCGGUUAGAAAAGUCUGAAGUGAAAGGCAGUGGCUCAACCAUUGUAGGCUUUGGAAACUGUUUAACUUGAGUGCAGAAGGGGAGAGUGGAAUUCCAUGUGUAGCGGUGAAAUGCGUAGAUAUAUGGAGGAACACCGGUGGCGAAAGCGGCUCUCUGGUCUGUCACUGACGCUGAGGCUCGAAAGCGUGGGGAGCGAACAGGAUUAGAUACCCUGGUAGUCCACGCCGUAAACGAUGAGUGCUAGGUGUUGGGUCCUUUCCGGGGCUCAGUGCCGCAGCUAACGCAUUAAGCACUCCGCCUGGGGAGUACGACCGCAAGGUUG